ensembl:lncRNA
AGUUGUAGAAACGUCUCAAGGAUGAUCAAUGGAAACAGGAUGCACCUGAGCUUAAUUUCGAGUCUCAUUGCAAAAGGUCUGAAUAUUUAUGUAAAUAAGGUAUGUUUUUUAUUUUUAAUACAUUUGCAAAAAUGUCUAAAAACCUGUUCUCGAUUUGUCAUUAUAGGGUAUUGUGAUGUCAUUAUGGGUUAUUGUGAUGUCAUUAUAGGGUAUUGUGAUGUCAUUAUGGGUUAUUGUGAUGUCAUUAUAGGGUAUUUUAGGGUGUGUAGACUGAUUCCAUUGUAGAAUAAAGCUGUAACGUAAGGGGUCUGAAUACUUUCCCGAAGGCACUGUAUGUGUUGAGAAUUUCAAGAAAUGUCUUGCUUUAUUGAACAGUGUAUUUCUCGUGUGUUGUUCAGGUCAUUACGGUCAACGAGAAUGUGUUUUAUAAAUGACUGACCUGGUUAAAUAAAUAUUUUGGUUAUUCUCAUUCAAAUCUAAAUCUAGGUUAGGUUGUUGAUUUGUUCAACAGCGUCUAGACAAACGAGACGAGGCAAGGUUCAACAGCGUCUAGACAAACGAGAGGCUACCAUUACUAGAGACUAGACAUUCCCCAUAACAAAAAAAUAAAAUGAACUAUUCUGAAUCACCUUUACCCCGUCACUAACACCCCUGUGGGACGAGGAAGGGGAACCCCCCCACUCUGUGGUUACAGGUCGAUAGUAAGAAGAGGAACUCACAGCCACCUUGUCAAACGCUGUUUUCUGCUGGCUGAGCUCGCUGGAGGGGAGGGGGUGUCGCUGAGCGGUCGUACCCAGGGCGGGGGUCAGGGACUGGAGAUGGAGCUGGGAGUGGAGGUGGUGGAGGUUGGCUGGAGGCUGGGGUUGAGCCUGGUGAUGGGGUUGAGCCUGGUGCUGGGGUUGAGGAUGGGGUUGAGCCUGGAGAUGCGGCUGAGGGUGGGGUUGAGCCUGGAGAUGCGGCUGAGGGUGGGGCUGAGCCUGGAGAUGCGGCUGAGGGUGGGGUUGAGCCUGGGGAUGCGGGUGAGGGUGGGGUUGAGCCUGGAGAUGCGGCUGAGGGUGGGGUUGAGGCUGGGGAUGCGGCUGGGGAUGGGGUUGAGGAUGGGGAUGGGGAUGGGGUUGAGGAUGGGGUUGAGGCUGGGGGUGGCUGUGGGUCUGGGGUGGGAAGGGAUGAGUCUGAGGCUUUGACGGAUUUUGUUGAAAGUUCUGGAAAAUGUGUUGAAGCUGCAGAGUGAGAGAGAGAGAGCUGAGUUAGGACACUGGGGGAUGCCUGAAGAUGGGACUAGCAAAAAUAAAAAACACACACCUGUUGUCCCUUUGAGGACUGGAAGAGCUGAGCGACAGCGGCGAACGCGUCAGAGUUCUGAAGCUGAGAGACAGGCGCCACAACAGUGUUUUCCGUUACUGAGGUGACCUUACCCUUUACUGGUGACGGGGAUGAGGGGAAACCUGGAGGACAGCAGUACAAGAGAGUCAGUCAGUCAGACAGACAGACAGACAGACAGACAGACAGACAGACAGACAGACAGACAGACAGACAGACAGACAGGCAGACAGGCAGACAGGCAGACAGGCAGACAGACAGGCAGACAGGCAGACAGACCGACAGAGAGGCAGACAGACCGGCAGAGAGAGACAGACAGGCAGAGAGACAGACAGGCAGAGACAGUCAGACAGACAGGCAAGAGUCAGACAGACAGGCAGACAGACAGACAGAGAGACAGACAGACAGGCAGAGACAGACAGGCAGAGAGACAGACAGGCAGAGAGACAGACAGGCAGAGAGACAGACAGGCAGACAGGCAGGCAGACAGACAGACAGCAGUGAUACCUUGGUCUGGGUUAGCAGUAGAGGUCGACCGAAUAUGAUUUUUCAACGCCCAUACCAAUUAUUGGAGGACCAAAAAAAAGCAGAUACCGAUUAAUCGGACGAUUUUUAAAAUGUUUUUGUAAUAAUGACAAUUACAACACUGAAUGAACACUUAUUUUAACUUAAUAUAACACAUAAUCAAUUUAGCCUCAAAUAAAUAAUGAAACAUGUUCAAUUUGGUUUAAAAUCAAAGUGUUGGAGAAGAAAGUAAAAGUGCAAUAUGUGCUAUGUAAAAAAGCUAACGUUUCAGUUCCUUGCUCAGAACAUGAGAACAUAUGAAAGCUGGUGGUUCCUUUUAACAUGAGUCUUCAAUAUUCCCAGGUAAGAAGUUUUAGGUUGUAGUUAUUUGAGGAAUUACAGGACUAUUUCCUUCUAAACCAUUUGUAUUUCAUUAACCUUUGACUAGUGGAUGUUCUUAUAGGCACUUUAGUAUUGCCAGUGUAACAGUAUAGCUUCCGUCCCUCUCCUCGCUCCUACCUGGGCUCGAACCAGGAACACAUUGACAACAGCCCUCGAAGCAGCGUUACCCAUGCAGAGCAAGGGGAACAACUACUCCAAGUCUCAGAGCGAGAGACGUUCGAAACGCUAACUAGCUAGCCAUUUCACAUCACAUCGUUACACCAGCCUAAUCUCGGGAGUUGAUAGGCUUGAAGUCAUAAAGAGCAGAGCUGCUGGCAAAACGCACAAAAGUGCUGUUUGAAUGAAUGCUUACGAGCCUGCUGCUGCCUACCAUCGCUCAGUCAGACUGCUCUAUCAAAUAUUAAAUCAUAGACUUAAUUAUAACAUAACACACAGAAAUACGAGCCUUGGGUCAUUAAUAUGGGCGAAGCCGGAAACUAUCAUCUCGAAAACAAGACGUUUAUUCUUUCAGUGAAAUACGGAACCGUUCUGUAUUUUAUCUAACGGGUGGCAUCCGUCAGUCUAAAUAUUCCUGUUACAUUGUACAACCUUCAAUGUUAUGUCAUAAUUAUGUAAAAUUCUGGCAAAUUAGUUCGCAAUGAGCCAGGCGGCCCAAACUGUUGCAUAUACCCUGACUCUGUGUGCAAUGAACUCAAGAGAAGUGACACAAUUUCACCUGGUUAAUAUUGCCUGCUAACCUGGAUUUCUUUUGGCUAAAUAUGCAGGUUUCAAAAUAUUGAUUUUAAGAAAGGCAUUGAUGUUCAUGGUUAGGUACACGUUGGAGCAACGAUAUGCACUGCGUCGAUUAUAUGCAACGCACGCUAGAUAAACUAGUAAUAUCGUCAACCGCGUGUAGUUAACUAGUGAUUAUGAUUGAUUAAGUUUAAUGCUAGCUAGCAACUUACUGCAUUCGCGUAACAGGCGAGUUCCUCAUGAGGCAGGUGGUUAGAGCGUUGGACUAGUUAACCGAAAGGUUGCAAGAUUGAAUCCCUGAGGUAAAAAUCUGUCAUUCUGCCCCUGAACAAGGCAGUUAACCCACUGUUCCUAGGCCGCCAUUGAAAAUAAGAAUGUGUUUUUAACUGACUUGCCUAGGUAAAUAAAAGGUGUAAAAAAACAUUUUUUAAAAAGACAAAAUUGCCGCCCAAAAUGACAGAUGUUCGAUUGUUCUGAAAACUUGAAAUCGUCCCGAAUUAAACCGGCCAUUCCGAUUAAUCAGUCGACCUCUAGUUAACAGACAGACAGACAGCAGUGAUACCUGGGUCUGGGUUAACAGACAGUAAUACCUGGGUCUGGGUUAACAGACAGACAGACAGCAGUGAUACCUGGGUCUGGGUUAACAGACAGUAAUACCUGGGUCUGGGUUAACAGACAGACAGACAGCAGUGAUACCUGGGUCUGGGUUAACAGACAGUAAU